GGCUGCUGGGAAUUAGCAUACUGGGCUAAAUCGCUGCAUUGUGGUUCUUCAUGAUAUCCAGAUGGAUCAGCUUGAUGCAUGAAUAUGAGGCUAAAAAGUUUAGGAUGGAUGAGCUGCUGUUAAGGGGCGUUAAUAAACUGCUCCCAGCAGUGAUUGUAAAGAUCAAGAACAGAGAUUAGCUUAAUAUAUGUUGCAACAAGGGGGAAGCUAGCUGCUGGAAUCAUAGCCUAGUCCUCAGGAUGUUUAUAUAUUGCUCCCAGCAGUGGUAGUCAAGAUUCAGCGUGACAUAUGUUCAGCAAGGAAGAGGUUAGCUGCUGGAAUUAUGGCCUAAUUUCCAGGCAGAAGGUUCAGACCUUACCAGAUCUAGAAGAAAUGCAUCAACUGGUGAUGAGGUUAUUUGUGGUGGCUUGUUUGGUUUUGUUGAAGCCUCAAGAAACUCAUGGAUUAAAGACUCAUAGUCAAUGCAAUAAGCAACAAGCUUGUGUGGCAUUGAGUAUUUGCAUGUUCAUCAAGAGAGCUCCCCUUGAUUGCAUCUGAUACAUAUUGUCAGUGAUAAAGCAUGAC